AAUGUCAGUCCCACAUGUCUGUUCUUUCUUCAGGGCCAAAAAACACCACCCUCGAGGGAAACAGUCAGCACCAAGAUACGGGGAGGACAUCACUGUCUAUGAGAACACUGUUCGCCUAAAAGGCUUGGCUCUGCCUGCACAGGGCCUGGACUCUUCCUCUACUUCCCCUGAAAUCUCAGCUGAGAAUCCCUAUCAGAUAUUGGACAUCACCAGAGUGGACGUUUAUGAAAAGAUCACUCCCCGGAAGAACCCUUAAGUCUAAGGCAGAGGGAGAAGUCACUAGUGAUGUAGUGAUAGUCCUUCUGAUUCACUUCAUUAAGUGGAAUUGAGAGGCAUCUUUUGGGAGAGAAAGUUGAGAGAUCUAGGUCAGUGGCAAUACCAAUCAGGAGAGAGGUGUGAUGGAACUGGCAAGUAUCCCAAUGAUGUCACGGGCAGAGAGAAAGGAGCCAUAAGUAUAUGACUACAUGCAGCAGCAGUUUUUAUUUUAGUGAGAAAUUACAAACAAACUGGGCAUUCCCCAACUGGGAUAUGUCUUAAUAAAUGAAUAUCAUGGAAUUUUAUUGUCUCUUAAUAUGAAUUUGAUGGAUUUGGUGAAAUCUGGAGGGGAUUCUAUCAACUGAUGUAGAGUGAAAAGAAUAGAAGAAGGAGACAAGUUCAUACAAUGACCCCAACAAUAAUAUAGGGUGAAGAAAUCCAAUAGCUUCAGAAUGCAGAUAUUUGAGGGGCCAAUCAUGACUACAAAAAUGAUUGAUAACAUGUACUUUUUACUCUUUGACCUGAAGGGCAUAGCCUUUGGGGAAGAGACCCAGCUUCCUAGGAAGAUCAGUGAUCCAGGCACACCCUCAGAGAGCAGAGGGAAAGAGAUGGAUUCUCCACAAAUUUAUCAUCAAUGACACUGUAACACAUUGUGUCAAAGUCCUUGGAUCCAAGUUCUUAUCCUACAAGGACAAACCAUUGAAACCUUGCAUGUAAUAUUGCUGGGAGGUGUGUCUUCUCUGAAUGUUCACACUUCCAGCAUCCCAUUGCUGGAGCAGCUAGGUGGUUCAGUGAAUUGAGAAGCAGGCCUCAAGUCAGAAGGACCUGGGUUCAAAUGUGACUUUAGACAUUUGCUCAGUAUGUGACCCUUGGAAAGUCAUUUAACCUCUUUUAUUUAGCAGUUAUUGCUCUUCUGCAUAGGAACUGAUACUUGAUAUUGAUUCUAAGUAGAGGUUUAAGAAAAGAGUGCUGUGUUGGAGUUUGAGCUUCACCUGAAUCAGAGAAAUAGAGAGUGCUAAGUUGAGGUCAAAAGACCCUGAAUAUGAAUCCCACCUUUUCUGGUUACCCCCCUGUGUGAACCAAUGGAAGUUCCUACUUUCUUUGAGUCUCUUUCUUCCACUGUCAAAUGAGAUGGUUGGACCACAUGAUUCCUGUUGUUUAAUCAUUGUCAUGUCCAACGCUUUGUGACCCCGUUGACUCUAACAGACCUUAUUUAAUUCCUCCCCUUUCCUGCUCCUGGUUCCUUGAAAGGGCUCCCAAAUCUUGACUAGUUUGUUCCACUCACUGGCUCUCUCCCUUCUUAUUGGUCAUCCUUUCUAAUGAUUCCAAUAGCCUGGGCAUCUCACACUCUUUCCUUCUUAGUCAACAGGUUAUAGAGUGUCCAUGAUAAGUAUAUUCCUCAGGCAACCUCAGACCUUGAAAGUCAUGUGGCCAAUAAAUAAUCUUCUGAGCCUUUGUGUGAGGUUCUAUGCUAAGAACUGAGGAUCCAAAAGGAAUAGAUAAUAAUUGCUAUCAAGGAUCUUAUUGUCUUAAGGGUGAGACAACUUCCAAGCAACUAUGUAUGAGCAAGAUGUAGAGAAAAUAAUUUGGAAAUAAAUAAGAGAGAAAGAGAGAAGGUAUUAGGAUUCCAAGGAAGCCAGGGAAGCCAGAAAGUGAAGAUGAGGGGGAAGAACCUUCCAGGAAAGGGGGGAUAUUCAGAGGAAAUGGCCAGUGUGGAUACUUUCAGGAUGUUUCUAAACUAGGGUUCUGAAGUCCAGCCUGGACCUGAGCAAUCUCUACAUGAACUAAGAGAGUUUUUCCAAAGAAAGGAGAUCUGGAUUUGGAGCCCAGGCCUGAUGUUUCCUAGAUGUGUGACCAUGGACAGCUCACUUAACUCUCUUGGCUUGUGCUAACUUGGAAAAACACCUUCCUCUCAAGGCUGUUCCUCAGCCUCCAUAUACUCAGGCUUCAUGUCUCCUUCCAGGUCUCUAGACUUCUUGUCCCUCUCUCAGGUCUUUGGCUUGAAGAGAUCACUCUCUCCUCCGCAGACUUAAUUCCUUCUCCUGUAAGGUCUAUCCUCCCAUUCAUGCUAUGUCUGUCCCACAGUCCUGUCCCAAAGUCUUUUACGCAGCAACUGACUUUUUUUUUCCUCUGACACAUUAAGAAACACAUGACAGGUCUUCCUCAUAUCCCUUUGAUUCUAUUGCCAGACUUCUCUCCCUAUCCUUGCUAUCUCUCCAUUAUUUCUUUUUUUCUCUCCUAAAACUUGUCUUUUUUGUUUGGAGACUGUGCAAAGUCUAGGACUCGUCCCACUCUCCCCUAAAAUGGGGAACUGAAGACCAUUUCCCUUGAUUCUAGACUCAGUUCUCUCAGAACUGAACUAUCUAGCUGGAGAGUGGGGGAUAGAGAGGAAGAAGAUGCUUUGUUUGUGUUCUCAAUAUAAAGAAGGAAAUUCUGGUUUGCACCAUACCCUCUUUCCAUUUCCUAAUCUUGUUGGACCCUCCCAAGUGCCCUUGUGAAAUACCCAGGGAAAGGCCAGGGCACUCUGUCCUGGCCUGAUAGGAAAAGAGAUCCUUGGCAGUCUGGUCCUGGAAUCUCCAAAUAGGGAUCAGAGCACAGUAUCUCUGCCCACAAUUCUCUGUGCUCAUUUAGGAGUCUAAAUAGUUUCUACUGAAGGAGAAAAACAUCGAAGGAGGUGAGGUGUCAAUGCCAGUCAACCAACAAUAAGUAAUACUGAGUGACCCAUGUUCCCCUUGGGCACAAAACCACUUCUCUUUGGACUAUGGGAGGGACCUAUGCAGGGGAGGAGCUCCCUGGGAGAGGCUGGAAACCACAGCAGCUAGGAGUGGAAGAAAGAGGAGAAGAGAAGAAAGUGAAAGUCAGAGACCAAGUGCCUGUCCUGUGGACCUCCUAUGAUUCUUGCUGUGACAACUCCAGGCCUGAAAACAGAGACUUUGGGCACCUAGAGAAGAAGGAGACAUAGCACAAAUAGCUCUGGGCUCCCAGACAGGAGACCAGAAGAGAUACCUCUAGGAUCUACACCUGAGACCUAUAAAAGAAAGACCCAGCUCAGGAGGGCAGUGCAGAGAUUCCUGGGAAGGAGAGAUGUGGUCACGCCCAGCGGGCAUCAUAGAUGGCUGGAGGGCCCUUCAGAAGUUGCCCACAGUGGAGGCAGCCCAUUUAGAGGCUUAUGAUCAUGGGUGAGACAGCAAAUCUGUUGGAACUGAGGGGAGGAGAGAGAGCCUGGGGAUUCUGGCCCUGAUGGAGACAAGUGAAUCAAUGCUAAGAUCAUCAGGAGGGAGACCAGUCCCAAAGGAUCUGUCCCAGAGACAGUCUCUGCAGUCCUGACUAAAAGAGUCUUCCCAGAGCCUGGGACAGAGAGGAAGGUAGCAGCUCAGGACCUCCAACCCACAUCCCUGACACUCAGGACAAUGUCUAGCCCAGGAGCUGCAGAGGCUGAGAGUUUUUCACAAUCAGAGGAGACCUGGAUUUGGAGCUCUGCCUGUGGUAGUUACCAGCUGUGUGACCACUGGCAGCUCACUUACCUCUCCUAACUUGGGUUUAUCUGGAACACCACCUUCCUGUCAAGGCUGUUUGGGACCACCCUCCUGUCAGCCUUCAAAUGCCCCCGUGGUUUAAUGGGAAAAGUUAGGUUCUCCCUGAGUUUGGAGCCAGAGGAUCCAGGUUCAAAGGUUGCUUUCUCUCUUCAGCUUUUAAUACCAAUCACGUCUGUUCAUUUGUCUGAGCCUCACUUUCCUGGUCCAUAAACGAAGGGUGCUCGAUUCAGAGAUCUCUGGCAUCCUGUCCACAAUCAAGAGUGAUUUUUCAGCGUGAGCGUUUUAAACGAUGAUUGGGGAUUCCUCUGAUUUCUCCAUCUGAAGACUUCUUGUUCAUAUCCUUUGACCACGUGUCAACUGUGACAUGACUUGUAUUCUUAUGGAUUCUCUACGAAUUUGAGAACGAAGACCUUCGGCAGAGAAAUUUGUUACAAAAUUUCCCCAGUUUGUUGUUUCCUUCGAAUCUUGUGUUAUCGGUUUUCUUGGGACAAAAGCCUUUUCAUUUCAUAUAAUCAACAUCAUUCAUUGUACGUCUCGUAAUGCUCUUCAUCUCUUCUUUGGUCUCCCUUUAGACUGGGAAACUGAGGGGAUGAGCUCUGGCUAAUUACCCCAAGAGGAAGACACGCAUAAGGUAAAUGAAGUCACGUCAGACAAAUGGAUCUCACAUUAAAACAGCUAGGAAUGGAGCACUGAGAAUGAAGUGCUCACGGUAGCCACGACUGAUAUAUUGCUGGCUAUAUGAUGUGGGCAAAGUACAGACCUAAGCACUUUAGAAACACCUAUUCCCCAAAGUCAUCCCUGAGAGGUUGGUGCACUGACUAAAAGACGUUUAUUUAAAUUUCCAUUGAAACAGAUAAUAAGGGGGCAUCUGGGUUGUUCAGUGGAUUGAGUCAGAUUCAGAGACAGGAUGUCCUGGGCUCAAAUAUGAUCUCAGACACUUCCUAGCUGUGUGACCCUGGGCAAGUCAUUUAACCCCCAUUCCACUCUUCUGUCUUUGAACCAAUGCACAGUAUUGAUUCCAAGAUGGAAGGUAAGGGUUUAAAAUAUAAAUAAACAAAUAAAUACACCAACAAAUGAAUGAAUGAAUGAAUGACUAAAAUGAGAGAAAAAAGUCUCUGGCUUUUCAUUUUAUAAAUGUAUAGAGAUGCAAGCUUGUCCUAUAAUUGUUUUUGUAUUUGUCUAAUUAUUCCCAUAUUAUUCUAAGAUAGUUUAAGGAUGCCUUAUGGUAAUAUACAUGAGCAUACUAUAUUUACUAGCAAGUGGAUAGCCAGGUUAGGAACCUCCAUCUCAUUAUCUUAACUUGGUGUAAAUGUAUUGUUCCACAAAUUAGCAAGAUUUCCCCAGGGUUUAGAGACAAAUGCCCUCCAUGGUUUGGAGCCAGAAGAUCCAGGUUCAAAUGCUGCCUUUGCUAUUUGUUAUUUUGUAUCAGUCACAUCAUCUGAUCCAGACCUCAGUUUCUUUGUCAAUAAAUUGAGAGUUUUCUCAAAGGUCCUGCUCAGUUGGAUGAUCUGAUUUGUCUCCUUAGUCACACCAUUUUAUGGAUUCAUUUCUCCCUUCAUUGUCUUGCCUAGCAUACUGACAGGCUCUUCCUGAAUCAAGUCCAUGGAGGGAGUUUAAAACGUGUCACAAAACAAAUUCUCUGAUCCUCUGCAGAGGCUGAGACGGACAGAAUGAUGUACAAGCAGAGGAAUCCUCCUAAACAUAUUGGAAUGUAAUAAUUUUGUGAUGGAAGUCAAGGUUGCUGCAACACUGAGAGUCUAAGGAGGAGUGGAGUAAAAUGUAGCCAUGGGGCAGCUGUGGGGGAAUGAGCCACUCAGGGAGGAGUGAGAGAACGCUUGCUCUCUAUACAUUUGGAGGUCUCUAGUAGCUGGGAGAUUCUAAGAUGGUUUUAAAAUUAAAUACCCAGAAUGAGGGUGGUAAGCAAUAUGUUGGUUCCAGAAUGUUCCACUAGAAAAUAUUUGUUACACACCUACCCUGUGCAAAGCAUUCUAUGUAGCUCUGAACAAGAGGCACAAGACCAAGGAGGGCAGCCUGUAGCACACUCUCAAGAAGAGUUUGUAAAUGCACUGUGUAAGUAGUGAGCUCUCCAUGGCCAAAAGGAUGAGGAAAUAUGGUUUCCAUGGUAGAGCAAAUGGAAUUACCUCUGGUUCAAUCUCACUAACCUAAGUAGAAUGGGUUUUCUUGGUGGAAGCUGCGUAGCUCAGUGGAUUGAGAGCCAGGCCCUUGAUUUUUGGAAUAGCCUCUUCAUGGAUGCCCCAACCUCCACUGGCUCCCCUCAUCUCUACAUGGCUGUAAAACAUAUUCCCUAAGUCCAAGUCUGACUAUGUCAGUUCCUGAAUCAGGAAGGCCCAAUGGCUCCCUGUUUCCAGGGAAGCAGAACUACAACCUCAUAUUUGUUUCUCUGGGUUCCAGUCCCAGAGAAUGGCUAAUUUCUAUUCUCAAUGUGGGGCAAGCUUGAGUCUUAGAACUUUGAGAGGGAAUUUGCUGCGGUCAGGGUCCAGCUACACUCACGACUCCAGGGUUCCCAACAGGUGGCAAAUGAUCAGUCAAAAUAAAUAAAAUAUAAUGAAUAUUCCAGUAAAUAAUGUAUGGAAACGACCAAAUAAAAUAAUGUUUAAAAAUUUUAAAAAUGACAGGAAAAUAAUCUUCUAAGAAAUGAAAAAAAUAUAUAAUGAAUAACAAAACGAAGACAGCUUAAUCAUUACAGCCAUGGGAUUGCUUUGCAUCUCAGCUACUCCACUAUCCCGAUGUCUGAUUUUUAUUUUUAUACUCAUUUUCUUGGCAUGCAGAUACACAAAAUCAAAGAGAGAUAAUUGGAAACGUGAUACAUUAACUUUUAACAAAUCUCUUGAUUUACAUUCUAUAUUUUUGUAUUGUGAUUACAGACAGAAUAAAGGUUGUACACAAGAUAAAUGAUUUUGUCACAGGUGGCUUACUAGGGAGAUUGAGUUACUGAUAUGUGUAAUUGA